UACGUAGGCAGCAAGCGUUGUUCGGAAUUACUGGGCGUAAAGAGUGUGUAGGCGGUGUUCUAAGUCUGGUGUGAAAUCUCCCGGCUCAACUGGGAGGGUGCGCCGAAUACUGAGGGACUAGAGUACGGGAGAGGAAAGUGGAAUUCCUGGUGUAGCGGUGAAAUGCGCAGAUAUCAGGAGGAACACCGGUGGCGAAGGCGGGUCUCUGGGCCGAUACUGACGCUGAGGAGCGAAAGCGUGGGGGAGCGAACAGG
rnacentral:rRNA from 1 species